UACGUAGGGGGCAAGCGUUGUCCGGAAUCAUUGGGCGUAAAGAGCGCGUAGGCGGCCCGACAAGUCCGCUGUGAAAGUCAAGGGCUCAACCCUUGAAUGCCGGUGGAUACUGUCGGGCUAGAGUCCGGAAGAGGCGAGUGGAAUUCCUGGUGUAGCGGUGAAAUGCGCAGAUAUCAGGAGGAACACCAAUGGCGAAGGCAGCUCGCUGGGACGGUACUGACGCUGAGGCGCGAAAGCGUGGGGAGCAAACGGG
rnacentral:rRNA from 1 species